AAUGCCAAAAACUUAGAAUCUUUGAUGCUUGAAUUAUUAAGAAUUUAAAGGUUCACAACAAUUUCAGAAUCAAAUCAUGGUUUAGGUUUAUGUUGCUGAACUUUCUCCUCUCCUCUAGUGCUCCUCAAUUCUCUCAGCGCCGCUCUCACGACUCCACCACAGGCUUUUACUCUUAACAAAGCUUGCACUCUUCUGGGUUCUACGUUGCCGCCGCUACCGUCAUUGCUGGAACCCCUUUUGCCUUCAGGUUCUUUUUGGGUAUGUUCUUAUCUGUGUAAUUAUUUGGUUGUUUGACGGUGGUGAUUAGCAGAUUUUUUUUGGCUUUUCAUGGUGUCCUAGCAAUUCGUGUCAUCAUCUGUAUGUGUGCACGAGUCAUGACUGAAUUUGAUUUUCGUAUUGCUCAGUGAAGAGUGAUGAUUUGAUUGGACUGAAGACUGGUUUUUAAUGGAAUUUAGGCAAUUGGGUUUUGUUUUUGCGGUUUUAUAUACAUUUUUCAUGUCUGUAUGACUAUGUUUGCCUUGUUUCUUGAUAAAUGGACAGUGUUGGGUUUAUGUUAGAAUAGUUCAAUAGUUUCAUUUUCUUGGUUUUUAUUACUGUACUAUGCAGCUCCUUUGAUUCUAAUUGCUAUUGGUGUAAAUGUGUGACAUAUUUGUGCAUAAAUUUGACACUGUUAGCCUAGUGGUUGUGCCGCAGUAAUCCCAAGGUUUCUCAUUGUGAUACUGCUGCGCCUGAAUAUUACAUUUGGAGUAUACAAAGAUUAUCCAAAGAUGAUGCUCUUAAAUACACUGUAAAUGAGUGUAAGGUUGAGUUAAAGCCUCCUUAUUCUGCUUUUGGGUAGAGGCCUUUUGCGAUGACAACUUUGAGGUCAUUUCUAAUGUUCUCUGUUUGAGUUGAGGCCAUGUGCUACUAAUGUUUCAUAUAUGUAUGAUUUGAGACACAAUGGCAUUUGUAAUUGAGCUUGAGAUCUUUGGUUGUGAAUGAAAGAUGCAUUUGAAUUUGUAAAUACCAAUGAACCUUGGUUAAAAGUGGAUGGCUCAAAUACUUUAGGAUAGGUUUGUGUGGGCAGUGUGUUUAUCUACGGUUAACGUAAAAAUAGUGGUGGCGGUGAGAUUAGAUAUUAUAACAAUACUAUAGUGGGAGACAAAAAGUAAGUUAAACGCAUCCCACCGCCCAUCCGUUUCUAGUUGACAAUUGUUUCAUAUAUGUAUGCUUUGAGACACUUGAUCUUGUAAUUCAACUCAUCUCUCUAUUUAGAUAACUUUGCGACUAAUUCGUGUAACUUAAGCUAUGUAAAUGAACGGUAAUGAUC
rnacentral:lncRNA from 1 species